GNGUUGGUUGGUUGUAUCCUUGCUCUGGCAACGACGUCCAUCCUCACAUGCAUCUUCAGUCGCGUCUCGGGAUACGUACUAUCUCGAGCUUGUUGUUGGUUUCUUGUGUUGUGUACCUAUAAAAUGGCAAUCGUUGGUCUAAAUUUAACAUUUCGCCUUUCAUCGUCCCUCUUUGGGGUGAUGCAGGGUGAACCACGANGCGAUCUCUGUGUCCCACUCCACUCACAUUGAGUUGUGAUUGUGGACUGGUCCAUAGGGUACUUGCUCGAACUCUUGGAUGCGGUGCAUUAUAUGUGGGCAUGAGGACUCGCGUCCUCUCUCUGUCCUAACAAAAGCUUUCAACGCUUAGUUGCGAACGAUUGCGAUCCCCGUUACGAGUCUUCUGACAAGUGCGGUGAUUGCUUCGUUGAGGAAUGCUACCUGGUUGAUCCU
rnacentral:misc_RNA from 1 species